GAAAUAUAUUUAAAAUUAAACUUCUAAUUUAAUUAAUAGUGAAACAUCAUUAAUAUUUCU
rnacentral:tRNA from 1 species